CUUUGGUUUAAAAAAAGUGAACCAGAAAUGAUCAUUCAGAACAGAUGUUCCCAGAGCAGAAAAUCUUAUUUCCUAACAUAGGAAAUAUGUUAGGACAUAUGUUUAUUAUUUCCACUGAUUUCUUAUAAGUGGUCCAGAAAAAAAAUAUCUCCUUCUUCUGCUGCUAUGAACAGUGAUUUCUAGGAAUUCUUGCACCAACUGGAGGACAGUUAGCUGGGAUUCAAUAGAAUCGUAUUUUAAAUAUGGUGCUUGACUUCACAGCCACCCUUUCUCCACAAUUCUUCUACCAUUUCAUAUCUGGAAGGAGCCACCUGGAUGCACCUCUGGAAGGAGCCACCUGGGCCUGGAAUGUGAAGAACCCACUUUGAAGAACUAGCACUGAUGUAGAAAACAUUCUUAUGUUUGGAAGAGGAAGAGAAAAGCGAUUCAUAGACCAAGAGCGACUCUUCUUCAGAUCCACUCCACACAGAUAUUUUUCCAGUUCCUAUGUUAGUGCGGCCCACACACCAUUUUGCCUCUUUGUGGGGGAAUAUAAGAUGCAUUCUUCCUUUAAGCUAUUUACUAUGGCUAAAAUGAUACUCAGCCCUCCAGAUGUUUAUAUAACAGAGAGCCAAAGAGCGAGAGACAAAAGGAGAACAGUUCUGCAACAGAGACACUGAGGGCUCCAUUCAUUGGGAAAGACCCGCUGACUUCCACGUUCGGCCCAGCUGUUUGUUCCAAAGUCACCCGGACUGUUGAAGGCUGUUGCCCCCCUGCUGCAUGGGCCCCAGCAGGAGAAAUCCGAACAGAAGGAGAGUGAGUGGCUGUGGUCUUCUCUGCGGCCUUCACUGCUUGCAAGGCCACAGAAGGGACAAUCUUGAGUCUGAGGUCACUCAAAGUUCUGACUUUGCUUCAGCCCUGUCUCUCCGACGGUCAUGACCCUAUUUCUCUCCCCAGUCCAGGCCACAUUUUCUGAAGAAUGGAGACCCUCACUCUCCUAGUGUUACAGAAGCCCAGGCAGAGGCCCCAGCAGGGUAAAAGCAACCUGAAGCCUCUUCUGGCUUCCUUUUCUGGCGCUCUCUGUUCAGGGCGAGGGGAGUUAUUGUGUCAAAGCUCACUUAUCAGUCUGCCCAUCUGAUAGGUGGAAAUUAAACAUAGGCGGGCACCUUCUGAGAAAAUGAAAGUGGUACUCCAAUCCCUGCCUUAUAAACACAGCCCACGCUUAGACCUCGCACACAAGGUUAUUGCUAGGGUAGCAGCAUUCCAUCUUCUGGCCACUUAAGAGGGACUUCCCAGCCAGUAUUUCACAUGUAUAUGUACAAUCACAUACCUGCACACACUCACACACCAGCACAUGCUCACAACUCCGUACACACUCACAUAUGGACACACUUACAACUCUACACACUCACAACCCUGCACAUUGGCCUGUGUAUACUCACAUGCCUGUACACACACUCUCACUUGCACACACACCCCGGGCACACACACAGACUGUGGAAUAACAAUCCCUUCCAAGAAAAACCCUCCAUAGUUUCCAAUCCAAUAACUUCUAACCAGGGACUCCCAACUUGAAAAUAUCCCGUCCUGUUCCCACUUCCAUGGUCCGCUGUUUUCACACCUAGGACCCUUUGGUAGGCCUUCCUGAGAGAGAAACCUAAGAAGUCCUGAGAACCACUUCACAGCACCACAGUUCUUGACCCUUCAGCUGCCCCGGGGUCUGCUUGCUCUUGGAAUCCUGCCGGACCUGGCAUCCUGGACCACCUACUCGCUCCUGCAUCUCUUUCCCCAGUGCCCACCUCCUUCUUGACAACAUCCACGGGCUCCAGUUGCCCUGGUCCUGGAAUGCUGUCUUGCUCUUGCUCUUCCCAAGGCCUGGCGUCCCAUCCCUGCAGCUGACAGACGUCCCCAAGGCCAGCCACCUGCCUGCGUCUCUGAAUAGUGCCUGCUUCCAUGGCCUGCCUCCGAGGGCAAGUCAGUCCUGUCAUCAGGACCCGCUGUCACCUCUUGCUGGACUUCCCCAGCCCCAUCGGUUGCCUGGGUGACUGCUAGUUGCCUAGCACCGUAUUUAAACAGCCAGAUGGGUUUCCUGUCAUUGGCCAUCCUGGGUCUAUCUCGACCCUUCAACACCUGGACCGCCAGGUUCCAUCUCCCAGGCUACCCCGGCUCCCAUCCCUGCAUCCAUCUGUGUCAGGAGAUAAAAUUCUUAGAUAAAAAAAAAACAGUAAGAUAAUCCAUUCUAAGAACCCUCUUGGCUAUGUGUAAUAACACUGAUGUAUAAUUUCAAACAAGCAAUGCCACCUACCAAGAAAUGGGUCACAAAAUGUGCUUCUGAUCUCCUUUUACAGCUUGGCAUUCUUUUGCUGGCAUUCGACUAUAACACAGCUAAUUGGCUUCAUGACAAACUAGAUGUUACAAAAGGCACACGAGGCACUCCUAAUAAAAUUUUUUAAAUUCCAACUUCUUAGUUAAGCAAAUUAAGAAAAUAUUUUAAAUCAAUUUAAUGAUGUUCAAAGAAGUAGCAAGCAAUACUAAAAUGAUAUCACAUCACAAAAUAGAAACUAGCCACUAAAAAUAAACUUUUCUUCAAUUAGGAGAAAAGUAUAUAUAUAUCCAUUGACCCUUGAAUAACACAGCUUUGAACUACACAGUUACACUUACAUGCAGAUUUUUUUUCAACCAAACAAGGAUUGAAAAUACAGCAUUCGAGGGAUAUGAAACCCACUUAUAUAUGGAGGGUCAAGUUUUCAUAUAACACAGAUUUUUCGUAUAACACAGCAGGGCUGACUGUGGGACUCAAGGUGUGCAGAUUUGGGUAUAUGUGUGUGCCCUGGCCAAUCCCCAACAUAUACCAAUGGGUGACUAUAUAUGUACAAAAUAGAAAAAACAAAGCUAUCAAUAGCUUCUACAAGAAGAUGUUUGGCUUACCGAUCCAUUUCUGUAAAUCUGAGCUAUUUUCUGACGCUGAUGGUGC
rnacentral:lncRNA from 10 species